rnacentral:rRNA from 1 species
CCUUCCGUAGGUGAACCUGCGGAAGGAUCAUUACUGAAAUGUAAUAACUUCUAUUGAAAGGUUCCAGAGUAGGCGCUACAACGCCGAAAUGACCUUCUCACCCUUGUGUACUCACUAUGUUGCUUUGGCGGGUCGACCUGGUUCCGACCCAGGCGGCCGGCGCCCCCAGCCUUAACUGGCCAGGACGCCCGGCUAAGUGCCCGCCAGUAUACAAAACUCAAGAAUUCAUUUUGUGAAGUCCUGAUAUAUCAUUUAAUUGAUUAAAACUUUCAACAACGGAUCUCUUGGUUCUGGCAUCGAUGAAGAACGCAGCGAAAUGCGAUAAGUAAUGUGAAUUGCAGAAUUCAGUGAAUCAUCGAAUCUUUGAACGCACAUUGCGCCCUCUGGUAUUCCGGAGGGCAUGCCUGUUCGAGCGUCAUUUCAACCCUCAAGCUCUGCUUGGUAUUGGGCAACGUCCGCUGCCGGACGUGCCUUGAAGACCUCGGCGACGGCGUCCUAGCCUCGAGCGUAGUAGUAAAAUAUCUCGCUUUGGAGUGCUGGGCGACGGCCGCCGGACAAUCGACCUUCGGUCUAUUUUUCCAAGGUUGACCUCGGAUCAGGUAGGGAUACCCGCUGAACUUAAGCAUAUCAAUAAGCGGAGGAA